UGGGGAAUUUUGGACAAUGGGGGAAACCCUGAUGGAGCGACGCCGCGUGGAGGACGAAGGCCUUCGGGUCGUAAACUCCUGUCAUGCGGGAACAAGAAAGUGAUAGUACCGCAAGAGGAAGAGACGGCUAACUCUGUGCCAGCAGCCGCGGUAAUACAGAGGUCUCAAGCGUUGUUCGGAUUCAUUGGGCGUAAAGGGUGCGCAGGCGGCGUGGAAAGUUGAGUGUGAAAUCCCGGGGCUCAACCCCGGAACUGCACUCAAUACUCCCAUGCUAGAGGAAUGUAGAGGAGAGUGGAAUUCACGGUGUAGCAGUGAAAUGCGUAGAUAUCGUGAGGAAGACCAGUUGCGAAGGCGACUCUCUGGGCAUUUCCUGACGCUCAUGCACGAAGGCCAGGGGAGCAAACGGG
rnacentral:rRNA from 1 species